rnacentral:tRNA from 1 species
UGGCUCAGUUGGUAAAGAAUCUGUCUGCAGUGCAGGAGACCCAGGUUCAAUUCCUGG